CUGAAUUGACUACAGGGGAAAAUAAUUGGGGGAAAGAGCGAUGAGGAAAGUGGGGGAGGAAAUGUCUCCCUCAGAUGCAAAGGCAUUUCCCUUCCCUUCCCUCCCCUUCGCCCCGGCUUACAUUUUCUGCACGGGUUUCCGCCGCUUGCGGCUGGCGUAGGUGACAUUGGGGUUCAUCCUCCUGCUGCUCCCGCUGCUCCCGCCGCGGCUCCAGCGCCUCCGGCCUCAAGAGAUUGUUAUUUGUGUGUGUCAAAUGUAUACGCUUCAAAACACACACACCAAAAGCACCCCACCCCACCCCCCCACCCCCUUUGAGGCCUCCCACCAGCGAGUGGUAAAGGCAGAAUCUCCUCAGAGAAGAAGCAGGUCGCGCGGCCCGGCCUCCUCCGCCCCGCCGUCAAUCCCACUCCAGAGUCCCUUCUUCGGCUGAGAGGAAGGGAGGGAGGAGGGGAGCCAGGUGCUUGGCGCCGGCAACACCCACUCGUCGCCGCCGUCGUCGUCCUCCUCGCUCCGUUUUCGGGGCGGAGAGACAGGUGCGGAGGCGGCCACUCCGUCCCUCCUCCUUCUCCUCAGAGAGAGAGAGAGAAGCCUCCCUUCUCUUCCUUUCCCGUCAGCACAGCCGCCGUCCUCAGGGAGGAAGGAGGGCCUCGCCUCACGCACAGGCGCUCCCUCCGUUUAUUCGCUCUUUCUGCCUCGGUCUCAGCGUCGGGAGCCGAGCCUUCGCUCUCCUUGCAGGCCCGGCCCACCGCCCACCGAGCAGCAGCAGCAGCAGGAGGAGGAGGCCUCGGUGGGGAGGCGCCGGGAGGCGUCAAGGGGGCGGCGCGGCGCCAUGUUGGGAAGAGAUCAAAGAAAGACCUGGCCUUCCUCACUGGUUGGAAAAGCAGACUUCCAUUUGGUCCCAAGCAAGAAAGUCAAGCAACACAUGCCAUAUACUAAUUUCCAGAGGGUUCUUUGAAGAAAAACUCAGUGGAGGAUGGAUGUUUGAUGAGCCCCUUUCCCCAUCCCUCACACAUCCUUCCAAAAUCCAAGACAAAAUUAAAUCUGAAAAACUCCUGGCUCCAAGCAUUUUGGAUAAAGAAGACUCAACCUGUGUUUUUUGCCUUUAAACAAUAUUGGAUGACAACUUGGGCUCUGAAUAAAAGAGUGUUCUAGGCUUGUAUGGAUGGCUGAUGUUCCUUAAUUGUCCCCGAAUGCCUCUUUACCAAGGAAUGCAGACAUUUUUCAUAAGGGGCAGUCAUUUCCUCCAGCAAUAUUAGAUAAUGAAUCUGGCAGUUUCUGUCACUUUGAUAUUUUAUUAUCUAUCUAGACAUACAUUUGGUUUACUUUAUUUACCCAGCAUUUUUUUAAAAAAAUCAGUAUGAAAGUUAUGUUCAUUUUUUGAACAUUUAUCCUAAUAUUUACUAUAUUUUUGAUUGCUACCUUUUGUUUUCUGGGCCUUGCAACUUUGUCUUCAAGGAACUAGACACUUAAAUCAGUCAGGGAAUCAUCUGUAUCAUCCCACACCAUCAUAUUCUUCAGUUUCUUGUUCUCCAUGGGAGCAUCUCUGCAAUGGACUGGACUUUUAAACCUACCAAUAAUCAGCUAUUCUUCCUGCCAUAGGGAUCGCCUUUUCCUGGCAGAGAAACCUCCAGCUAAUCCCUGCACGGAUCCUAGCCAGCCCAUUUAUCAACCAAUCAGAAGGAGGCAUGUGAAGUCGGAAUAGCUGUCAGAGGUGUAUAAAAUGUGUUGUAUUUUUCUAUGAAGUUGUGUUUUUACAUUUUGAGUGUUGGCUUGGUACUUGCACUCCUUUUGGCCAAACUGUAAUAAAUCUGUACUUUGCCUUCAACCCAGAGUGUUUUGUUCUCUGUCCUGGCUGAUCUGGUUUAGUGGAAGCUCACAGGGCACAGACCUUCUUAUCUGCAGUACUGGCUGAAAUCACUUAAUUUCAAUGAUUUUAAGGAUCAUUAAAUAAAGUUGACGUGAAAGAAAUAAUUUCAUAAAAUGUUCCAGAUCAAUUUCAAGAACUAUGGAUUUAAAUGUUCUCACCAGCUGAAUGAACAGCACAUUAAAAAUUAAAUAAAUUGAUAAGUCUCAGAAGUUUUGCUAAAACAAACAAAAACAUUUGAUAUCUUCCUCCCCCCAAAUAAUUUUGUUUUCUCUUUGACAAGUCAGCAAUUUUGUUGGUUAUCACUUUUGAUACAACUGAAUAUAGGAAACAUGCUGAUUGAAAGCUGUACUUGGUUUGAUGUCAGAUCAUGAAGGGGAAUUUUUGAAACGGGAAGAAAGAUUAAGAAAGUGUGAUGGUGGGUAGUAUUUUUACCCUUCACCAGUAUGCUUGAAAAGUACAUUCAUCAAACUUUAUGAAACAAGAAAGAUUGUAGAGCAUGUUGUGGUUUUGAAAAAAAAUUACAGGCAACUUUGUUUCUUUCAACAAGAAAAAGUAUGUUGGCCUCCAUUUCAAAGUUUAAAUGCCCUUUGGUACAUGGACCAUAAUUUAUCAAAAUUACUUGGAUCAGUUUUUAAAAUACAAUGGGAAUGAGCAAAGUAAAUCGCUCAUUGAUGGCAUUGUUCAAAAUCUAACCAGUGUUUUCUUUUAUUUAAAGUAUGGGCCAACAUAACCCUCAACCAUCCCAAUUUGCCUGGGAUAGUCCCAGUUAAUCUGCCAGCUCAAUUUUUCAGCUGCUUUAAAAAUGUCCCAGAUGUUUGCUUAAACACUUUGCUUUUAAUAGAGCUCAUUUUCAAGUAUGUAUGCAGAGGCUCAGCAAAAGUAAUUUGCAAAGUACUUUACAAGUUAUUUCCUCCAAAUCUACAAAAGAAACAAGUAUGCCAUUGUUCAUUUUUUUCUGAUGACAUAGCCAUAGACUAUUUUUGAGAAGAAGGAACUGGCAAAACCACAUCUGAAUAUUCCUUGCCUAAGAAAACCCUAUGAAAUUAUUGGAUCACCAUAAGACACAGGACAGCGUGACACAAAGACAUAACUGAGACUGAGAAGUAUUUGCUCAGUAUUUGAGAAUGGAAAUUUGUGAAUCCAUGCUUCCAAGUUCCCAUUCUGUAUAUUGGGCUAUAGUAAUUUUACAAACGUAAAAAAACAUUAAAAACACUAGUAGGAAUAUUGCACAUGUUUACAGUUAGUACAUAUAAUACAGCUUGCUCAAACUUCAGUUGAAUUUCAGUGGAUUUAAAUAAACAAAGAAUUCAUUUAUCUUUUGCUCAUCAACAUUGAUGCAUUCCUGAGAUUUCUUUUUUCACAGGUAAGAAGCCAGUCUUAGAAACAAUGUUGACAAACCAGGUUUUUUUUCUUUUCAAGAGAAAGAAGAAAUGCCUUUGGGGGCUGGUGACAGACUUCUGCAAAAAAAAAAUCAUGUCUUCUCCAAUGUUUAAGUUAAAGUAGUCAUGUAAUUAAAUGGAAGCUUUACACAAAUGAGAAAGUGUGUGUAGUUUCCAUUUAAUUACAAUACUGCUGUUAAGGAUGUACUCCUUUCCAUGUUUAUUUGGAAUUAACCAUGUGGGUUUUUAUAUCUACUCAGAAAUCUCAUCAAGUUGCAAUAGAAUCUGUUUCUAAAAACAUAUGUCCCACCCAUUUCGUGUUCCACCAGAGGGGAUAAUACAUUAUAGAAGGACAUGGGAGCCUUUUCUUUAUGUCCCACCGUCAGGAAAUACCUUCAACUUAGAAUCCCAACGGGUAUCAAUGUUGGCUUCAUUUUGGUGCCAGAUUAAAACAUAAGCGUUACAUUGGUUCAACCCACUUUACCCCACAAUAAGAUCUGGAAAAUCUUGAACAUUCUCGUAGACCUCCAGGAGUGGCAUCACAGUCACUGUGCAUUAUUGGACCCAUUGAGACAAUGCCUAAGGGUUCCUAACUUAGCCUGGACCCAAACCAUUACUAUUUCAAGUUCAUCUUGUCACUUGUAUGCCUACCCAGAACUUUGUGGAUAAGUUUCAAGGUAUAUGACUGCAGAUACGUCUCUUAUCCCUCCAUACACACACACAAUGAAAGCAGAUGCAUAUGCUUGUAUGGACAACAUCUAAUUAUAGAAAACACAGG
rnacentral:lncRNA from 1 species